rnacentral:sRNA from 1 species
AUAGACUGGGCUUAGACAAAAAAUAUGUCAGUGUUUAUAAAUCUCCAUUACGUUGUUGUAUAAGUCAUACUUGUAGUACCGUCCUGAAGUUUUUAAGUACCGUCUAAUUUUUGCUCUAUGCGCCCAGAUGGGCAUAGUUAAAUUUUUAAAUCAGGAUAUCUAGAUAUGUCUAAUACAGUAACUGGCACAGUUAAGUGGUUCAACGAGUCAAAAGGUUUUGGUUUCAUUGCACAAGAGAAUGGCCCUGACGUUUUUGCUCAUUUCAGCGCAAUCAAAGGCGACGGUUUCCGUACUCUUGCUGAAGGCCAACGUGUUGAGUUUACUCUUGCUACAGGUCAAAAAGGCCCUCAAGCAGAGAACAUCACUGUUAUCUAAGCAUUCGUGCUGUAAAAAAAAGCAAGCUAAGGCUUGCUUUUUUUG